rnacentral:rRNA from 1 species
GUCCACGCCGUAAACGAUGGGCACUAGGUCCUUGGGGGAGCGACCCCGUGAGGGCCGACGCUAACGCAUGAAGUGCCCCGCCUGGGGAGUACGGCCGCAAGGCUGAAACUCAAAGGAAUUGACGGGGGCCCGCACAAGCGGUGGAGCAUGUGGUUUAAUUCGACGCAACGCGAAGAACCUUACCUGGGCUUGACAUGCACGGGAACCAGUGGGGAAACCUGCUGGGCUCUUCGGAGCCCGUGUACAGGUGCUGCAUGGCUGUCGU